CGGCAAGUGCAGCGGCUCAUGCAUAUGUAAUCCCAGCACUUUGGGAGGCCAAGACUGGCAGAUCACUUGAGCUGAGGAGUUGGAGACCAGCCUGGACACCACAAUGAAACCCAGUCUCUGCAAAAAAUACAAAAAUUUGCUGAGCGUGCUGGUGCAUGCCUGUAGUCCUGGCUACUCAGGAGGCUGAGGUGGGAGAAUCACUUGACUUGAUGUCGAGGCUGCAGUGAGCUGAGAUCGCACCACUCCUAGAUGAUAAGAGUGAGAGCCUGUCUCAAAACAAAGAAAAGAAAGAAAGAACGAAAGAGAAGAAAAUACAGGUAUUACGGCCUAGACAUUCUUUCAGAUGCCAGAGGAUGCUAUAGAAAAAUGCGUGCCCUCUUGUAAUACUUUGUUCAAGUUCUGAUCAGAAGGAUGAAUGAUGGAGCCCAAGAAGCCAGGUACAAAUUCAAGCUUCUUCCAUUCAUAAGCUAGGCAGUCCUUACUCAAAUUUCUUAUCGUAUCUAUUCUUUAGUUUCCUCAUCUGAAAUGUAGGUGAGGCUAAUUGUAUAUGCCAACUUGACUGGUUUCAAGACGCUUACAUAUUUGGUUAGACAUUAUUUCCGAGUGUGUCAAUAAGGGUGUUUCUGGAAGGACUGGGCAUUUGAAUUGGUGGACUGAGUAAAGCAGCUGGCCAUCCCCAGUGUGAGUGGGCAUCAUCCAACUUGCUGAGGGUUUGAAUAGAGCAAAACGGCAAAGGAAGGAUGAAUUCUCUCUCUCUGCCAGACUGUUUGAGCUGAGACAUUGGUCUUUUCCUGCCCUUGAGCUAGAACUUACACCAUCAGAACUCCUGGUUCUCAGGCCUUCAGCUCCAAGCUGUAAUUUAUUCCACGACCUUUCCUGGGUCUCCAGCUUGCAGAGGGUGGACUGUAGGAAUUUUCUGCCUCCAUAAUCACAUAAGCCAAUUCCUUAUAAUAAAUCUCAUUCUAGAUAUACAUAUCUGUAUAUCUCCUGUUUGUUCUUGCUCUCUGGAGAACCCUGACUAAUAUAGUUAUUCUGAGGAUCAGUGUUGUUUUGAAAACUGAAUAUUUCAGUGUGUGUGAAGUACUCAGAACAAUGUCUGGCACAGGCAGAUCCUGCACAAAGGUGGCUAAUAUCAUUAUUACCCCUUCUUUUCACCACACCUCUAGUAUUUCUGUAAGUUGCCCGUAUACUAGCCCAGCAAAUGAACCUUGAUAUUUCCAUAACAUGUAAUUACCUAAUUCAUAUUGUUGCUACCAUUCAACUAGAGAUUAUUACAAAAUAAUUUGAAAAACAUCUUUAUAAUUGCUCACUGAUUAAAGAUUUUAAGAUGCUUUUCUUUCAAAUAUUUUUAUUUCUCAGAGCACCUACAAUGCUUAGCGUAGGUCUUCAUUUUCUGUCACUCAUAAUUACAUUCUAAUAUUUUCAUUAUUUUAAUAUUUAUCUAUUUUCUCUACCUUGCAUUACUGACAGGAUUUUUGGCCAUGUCUAUGUUUUAAUUUUCUGCUCCCCACAUACAAUUUGAACAAAAUAUUAUAUUUUAAAUUCUUUACAAUUUUUCUCUUAUUCUACAUUUCUCAUUUAAACUUAACCAGUUGUCUUUUCACCUAAUUCUUAUUUCUCUUUAGGGGUCUCUUCUUUUAUUUCACAGUCUGGGUAUAUUUGUAUUUUAUUUAUGAUGCUAGUCCAUCAAUUUUUUUGAUUUUUUAAUAAAAUAACGCACAGAACUACUUAUCUUCUUCUGAGUCAUUAGGAUAUUUUUAUAUAUUUUUAUUCUAUAGUAUUUUUCAUGCCAACUAUUGGUACUUAUAAGUUCUCAGGUGAGUUUGCUACACAACUACCUCUUUAAAUUGACUUUGUUGGCAUGAUAUUAACUUCCAAUGACAUAGCUAUAUGAUCAGUUCACAUUGAAGGCAAAACCCUGUAAUAGACAAAAUUACCUUGUCAGAUUGACUCUGGUGACAAAAAAAGGCCUUUAUUUUCUUCAAACUAUUAUGAAAUUAUUUAUAUUCUAUUAGAGGAAGAGGAUUUAGGUAAUUUAGCAGGCCAAGUGUUUUGCAGGUGCACGGUCACAGUUACAGUGAUUUGUAAUUUGGGGACCCUAAUAGCACUAGAAGCUGAACUGCUCCCUGAAUACUCUGCAGUGCAAUAAAUGGUGCCUAUAACAGUGCUGUGAAAAAUCAACAUACCCAAACUUACAGAGAAAAUUAGCAAGUUCACUUGGGGGAAAGAUACAUGGCCUGAGCAGAUUUUUUUCCUCUCUCUUCAAGAGAAAUCAUUUAAUCCAUUAUUUUGGGAAUCAAGACUGAUAGUUAUCUGAAACUGGAUAUUUGGAAAAAAAAACAAGGAAAAAAGAAAUAUUAACCAAUUUAUGACAAAAUAAAAUAGAAAUAUACUAAUAGAUAUUGAGUAGUAUUUAUACACUAGGUAAUUUUCUAAUCCCUGCAAAGUAGGAUCUAUCACCCACAAUUUGCAGAUGAAGAGAAUGAGAUAGAAACAUGUAAAUAAACUGGUCUGAGAUAACCAUAAAGUAAAAGUCAGGAGUGGUUUUUAAAUGCAUGCAGUCUGACUCAGGUUCUCUGCUAUUAAUCUGAUAGAAGUCUCUUAGGAAAUUUGUCAUCCUGGUCAGAUAGAAAAAACAGCCCAAGUAAAAUAACCAGAAUAAGCAGCUCAAACCCAGAGCUUGAGAUUCCCAUGUCCCAUCAGAAAUAUGUUUUGUCUAUUCCUCAAGCUCCAUAGUUUGUCUUUAGAAGUACAUGCUAGACACUUCUACAGUAAAAGUAGUGAACAAACGCCACUGAUGUAAGCUACAAAAGACAUUUGCCAAUUGUGCAUUCUAAAAAUUUGAACAUAUUUGAAAUACUUAAAAAAUCCUGACAGUAUCUUCAGAUUUGACCAUUCUUGUAAGCAUUUUGACACUUAAUAAGCAGAGAACCUCUUACAGAGAUUCUUCUGGUCCCUUUCCAUUCAUCGUAAAAGAUUUUAAUGAUUUCUUUAUAUAUUGAAAAUCUAUUUUUAUAAAACUGACCAUACUAAUAAAAUCAUGUAACACUUUGUACACUUCUGGCUUUGACCUAUAAAAGAUAAUAUUUUUUAAAAAUCAUAUGUAAUACUAUAUUGCUAACCAUACAUCAGUUUUAUUAAAGACAAAUAGACAUUCCAAAAGGGGUUGCACGUCACAUUUUUUGCUCUAGUAAGAAAUAAGCUAUUUUCUUGUCAUUCGCUUGGAAUUCCAGUAUUGACAUUAUAUGCACUAAUGAUUUAUUUGUAGGAAUCUUUUUAAUUGAAUUGUUGAUGUUUCCAAGGUAAAAUCAUAAUAUAAUUUAAUUACAAUAAUAUAAGAGGGCAAUUAAUUAUGUACCCUCUUGUAUACCUGAUUAUGAGAACUGCAUUCUGUGUUUCAACCCCUUAAACUGAGAACUGUUAUAAAGUCCAUAGUGUUAGGAUAUUUAGAAAUAGAAAUGUUAAUGCAACCAAGAGAGAUUAAAGCCUCUUGAGUUCAUAUGGCAUAUUAAUUUUGGCUUUUCUUCAGCUUUGAAUUCCCACUAUUUAGUAACUUUGAAAUUUCAUUUCCUUUUUGGACAUUUCUCAGCACCACCAUGAGUCUAAUAUAGUAAAAUUGGGCUACCAUCCAAGUGACACAAGCCCCAUGCACUGGGGAAACGUAGGGAUGGUGGAUUCUGCUCCAAGACUGAGAUAGAAUAGCUCUUUAUUUUGCAGACCUUUCCUUUAUUUUUACUUAACUUUCCUAUAUUUGACAUGAGAGCAACACAAUCUCAUGAGAGGUGUGAAACUAAAGGAACAGGGCCAAAGAGGCCCAUGCAGUCUCUUUUGAGCCAAAGUCCUGUAGAUUUACAAGGUCUUCCUGAUCUAUACUUGAUCUAAUCCAGUGGUUCUCAAAAUAUAGUUCCUGAGUAUCACUGUCACCCGGCUAGUACAAAUUUUCAAGCCCUAGGCUAGACCUGCGAAGAGGGCGUCACAGUCUGUGUUUUAAUAAGGCCUUCGGAUGAAAUCUGAUGCAUGCUAAAGUUUAAAAACCUGAGUUUUCAAAUCACCUUGGCUAAGCUCUACAUAGGGGUUUAAGUCUAUGCAAGUAGAGCAAUACGUAGAGUGAUUUUUGUUUUUCUGCAUUGUUGCUGAACCGUAAAUAAUCUAUUUGUAAAUCUUUGUUAGUAGUAAUGAGUUUGAAUUUAAAAAUUUGGAGGUUAAAAAUUAUGAUCUUUUUUUUUUCUGCCUCUCUUGUAUGUACAGGUUAAUCCUCAUUACUUACAAAUUCCCUACUUGUGAAGUUGUCUACUUGGUAAAACUUUUUGUAAUACAAAAAUCAAUUUUGUGGAUAUAAACAGAUAAGUCCGGUGUAGUAAAAAAUGUGAAUUGUCCAACAAGCACAUUUCCAGCUGAGUUCAAAGUGAUGUCUUGCCUUCUUUUUUCAGCUCACAAACAAUAAACAAGUGUCCUUUUGUGAUCUAUUUAGUGCCAUACUUUAGGCAUUUUUUUUUUUGCUUCUUCUUGGUGAUUUCACUGCUUAAAAUGUCCCCCAAGGAUAUUGCUAAACUGUGGCCCUUUUUUCUAAACACAGGAAGACAAAAGAAUGUGCCUUAUGGAGAAAAUACAUGUGUUAGCUUAACUUCUUUCUAGAAUGAGCUACAGGGCUGUAG
rnacentral:lncRNA from 1 species